rnacentral:rRNA from 1 species
CACGCAGUAAACGAUGAUUACUCGCUGUUUGCGAUAUACGGCAAGCGGCUUAGCGAAAGCGUUAAGUAAUCCACCUGGGGAGUACGUUCGCAAGAAUGAAACUCAAAGGAAUUGACGGGGGCCCGCACAAGCGGAGGAACAUGUGGUUUAAUUCGAUGAUACGCGAGGAACCUUACCCGGGCUUGAAAUGCAUCUGACGUGGGCAGAGACGCCCAUUCCCCUCGGGGCAGAUGUGUAGGUGC